rnacentral:rRNA from 1 species
UACGAAGGGGGCUAGCGUUGCUCGGAAUCACUGGGCGUAAAGCGCACGUAGGCGGAUCCUUAAGUCGGGGGUGAAAUCCUGGAGCUCAACUCCAGAACUGCCUUCGAUACUGAGGAUCUCGAGUCCGGGAGAGGUGAGUGGAACUGCGAGUGUAGAGGUGAAAUUCGUAGAUAUUCGCAAGAACACAAGUGGCGAAGGGGAUUACUGGACACAUAUUGACGCUGAGGUGCGAAAGCGUGGGGAGCAAACAGG